GGCCCAAAUUUGAAGUACAGUAGAUUAGUAGGGUUAGCUGAUACUACUGAUCUACUCUACUUCAAAUUUGGGCCC
rfam:Haemonchus contortus, ISE/inbred ISE, WGS project CAVP01000000 data, contig: Hcontortus_27099